GUGACUCAGAGCCCAGCACAGGGAAGUCAUUCUGCGGAGGUCUGAGACUGGCUGUUUGUCUGGUGACGCCACGAUCUUAGAGUCUUUUUCUCUCUGGAUUCUUCCUUCGACUGCAGCUUCCACCCACAAAGGCACAGAACUCACCAUCCUUCACCUCCGCGUGGAGCUUUCAAAUUCACCUUUUAUUUUCUACCAGCAGCAGAAAAAGAAACAUUUGCUUCAAAACGUAUUCUUAGAAUCUUUCUGGAACUCAGGAUACGUGAGAAGGGUAGAAAGGGAAGGAGGCUCUGCUGUAGGUACGUUUUCUGGAAGUCCUGUUUCAGAUCCCCGUCUAGCUGGCCCCGGAACUCACCGUCUUUCCCUGAUGUUUAACUACGGACAACAUCAUUCCUUCAUCCCUUCAGUAAAUGUUAAUGAGCUUCUGGGCCCUGGAUCUACUGGAUGAGGCACAUGUGAUCCCCGCUGACUAGGGGCUGACAGGGACUGGAUCAGGUGUGCCAGGACGAGGCGGUGAUUCUGAAUUCCCA